UACGUAUGGAGCAAGCGUUAUCCGGAUUUACUGGGUGUAAAGGGUGCGUAGGCGGCAAGGCAAGUCAGAUGUGAAAGACCGGGGCUCAACUCCGGGGCUGCAUUUGAAACUGUUUUGCUGGAGUCCAGGAGAGGCAGGCGGAAUUCCUAGUGUAGCGGUGAAAUGCGUAGAUAUUAGGAGGAACACCAGUGGCGAAGGCGGCCUGCUGGACUGGUACUGACGCUGAGGCACGAAAGCGUGGGGAGCAAACAGG
rnacentral:rRNA from 1 species